CUCGUCAGUUGCAGGCUGGAGCUUUUCUGCCUCACUCAUCAAUUCCUGUAACGAAACGAAACGAUGCAAUUUAGAUCAAAGUUCGAAGCAAACCGAGCAAAUUCGAGAUUUCGAGGCUGUGAGACGCUUCGAGGAGAGCCUCGAGAACCUGUAUGUGUGUCCAAGAGUCUCGAGUGAUGCUGAUCAUGCUCGGAGUGUCGACGAGACUUUGCAGUUUUUUGUAAACACCGGCUUUCUCGUCGGACUCCAUUCGCGCGAGAGUGUAUUCCUACGGGUCCACGGGCGAGAGAAAUGAUUAAUAAUGCGGAAGCAGAAUUUAUUUUUCGAUUAGUUUGAGAAGAAAAUGAAUGAAGAUGGCAACGCACUGCAAAACUGGCUGGAAAAGCGUUGGCUCUAUCGAGUUGUUCGAGGUGUCUCGUCCGUUCGUUGAGCCAAGCGA